GUGCCCCGGUGCCCCGAAAGCCAAAGGGCAUCAGCCACCGCCAAGCCCCGCACCGCUCCCCGGCCCUCCUCGGCACAGGUCAUUCUCCUUCGCCAUCGGCAGCUGCUGCUCUGGGAGGCGUGAAUUAGUGCAAAGGGCAGCAGAGUGCCCUGAGCAGGAUAACCCCUGCCGAGGAGGGAAGGGGAAGGCAGCCGGGGCACGGACCAGGGCAGGCCCAGUCCUUGCUGGCAUCAGCCAGCAGCUUGGCUUAGGUCACACCUAGGGGUGGAGAGCAUGGCCACAAUGAUGUUUCACACAUGGCUGUUAAAUCCCCAGCAGAGAUACAGGGCUGGGGGCUCAGGUGCUGGAUGUUUUGUCAAGGUAUGGGAAAAAAAGCCAUGGCAAACGGGCAUUGUGUUUAGUGCUUGACAAACACAUGACAAUACAAUGGUGGCUGGGCUCCUGCCUGGUACAGGUAUGAUGCACCACAGGUGGAAAGCAGGCCUAGAAAAUUCAGUGCUUUUUUUUGAUUGUCUGGUUCCCAUCUGGAGCUCCAAGUGCAAUUUUGACACCAUGGAUGGGUUAUUUCUUUCAGCCCAAAUCCCUGCCCUUCAAAUCCAGUUGCUACAUUGAAUGAAUGUCCUAGGCAGCUGCACUUAAAAAGAAUUAUAUUGAAGAAGGUUGUCAUUUGCAAGGGGUAGCUAAGUGCUUGUUUUUCAGAUCAAACAGCAGUUUAUUUAGCCCAUGUUAAUUUUCAGCUUUAAAAAUCCAGGUUAUCUGUUUCGGCUUACGCACUGACCUAAUUUAUGUAGCUACUGUUUAAGUAUUUUUAAACGUUGAGCACAAAAGCAGAUGCAUCUUGGGGCAACCUGAGUAGUUCAGCAAUUGGCACAUCAUGUGUUCUAGCUGUCACACAUGGCAGGACUGAAACCUGCCCCUUUUCAAAUGAGCCAGCAUGCCAGACAACUUUACCAAGGGGUAGUAGAAACCAGCAAGUGGUGAAGCUAACUCCAAAAGCCAAGUAAUACCUGGUGGUUUUUGGGGUUUUGGUUGGGUUUUUUUUCCAUGAGAUCUUGACAUUUUUGGACCAGGCAGCAGACAAUAGCAAGUUGCUAGGGGAGCUCUGUGUUAUUUGCAGAAAAAACAAGUGUUAUUAUUCAUUUGUAUUUCAGCCUUCCCGUGGCAGUGCUCUUAGUAUCUGGAUUUUUGCCUUGUCUCGUUUUGGAAAGGACUCGUUUUCUUUCCUCCUUCAACUGUUGUUCACUGCUGUUUUGGCACAGGUGCCCCAGAUAUUUUUGGGUGUUCAGUAAACAGCAUGAAUUGUUCAUGCAAGAAAUUUGGAGAGGAAAUCUAUAGUUCAUGGCUGACCUCUACUGUUGGCUCAUUUUUUUGCUUUACACUUGGCUAUGUUGACAAAUGCUUCACCCCUCCGUGAUGAACACAGGGUCGACACCAUGCACAGCCCAAGGUCUCAAAAGGGCCCACCGGAGGCAAUACCCACUCUUCUCUGAGCUUUGAUUCUUCUCUCUCUGCUAUCCAGCCAGGUGAUUUGGAGACAGCUCUUUCCUCUCCCUAGAAGAUUUGCAGAUGAACAAAAUUGUGCAUCUUCCUAUGUGACAGAAGAUGAUAAAAUAGCCCUGGGAAGAAGCUGAUAGUGAAGUGACCAUCUUGUACUGUAUCCAUCUAGAGUGACUGCAGCACUUUCUGACUCUGAUUUAAUUAUGGUGCAAUUGCAGUGACUUGGGGCUCUAUAUCAGGAAAUAAUCUUCUUUUCCUUCAUUUUCCUUCUUUUUAGAGAAAUAGGUGAAGUAGGCUAGAUUUUAAAUGGUAGCCUACAGCACAUGUUAGAUGCCCACGUUUUUUUGAAUGUUAUUUGAAUUAAAUAACCUCUUUAUUUGUUAGCUGCUUUUUUAUAUAUAGUCCUAGUAAUUGCAUCCCAUGUUAUUAGUUAUUCUCUGUAGUUUGCUUUGCCCAAUGAGUAGUCUCAGGGAUUGAGAACAUACAUAUGACGAGCUUGAUUUUUUUUUCUGUAAAAUGUCCUGAAACAUUAUAUGGUUCUUCCUUGCAGGAGUUAGCAAGUAGUUUUGAUGUUGAGUUUUCUAUUGAAGGAUGAAUUAGUGAUCUGAAAUAUGGUUAAUUUUCUGAUUGAACUUUAUAUUCUCUGCAUGCUAAUUUGAACAGAGGUUCACAAAGGCAGUGCCUUUCCCAAAUUCUUAGUUCUAACACCAGUAUGUGAUUGCCAGAAAAUGAUCCAUUCCCCAAAUUGUCAUCUGUUGGGAAGGAUAAAGAGCACAGACUAUUCUGUUGUUUAAAAAUAACAAAGCUGCUGCCCUGUCACUUUGUAAAAAGUAAUUACAGAGAGUAUUUUUGAACAGUGUUCAGAUGUGAGGAAUAAGGAUUUGUCAAAUUUGCCUAAUGACUGCAUAACUAAUGAGUAAGACUUGUGGUUAUUUCUGUAAUGCAAAUGUUUUUCAAAAUUCAUACUUGUCUUUUAUUACUGUUAGCAUAAAUUUACAUUAAAGUGUGAGCAUAUUAAACAACAGUGGCAGCACCACUGUGUUCCUGUGAAUGAAAUAUCUCAAAUGCUGUAACUGCAGAGAUUUCUCAGCAUAUCUACCCUAUAGGUGCUUUUCUCUGUCUGAAGAAAUAUCACAGGAUUUCACUGACAUCAUGCUCAGCACAUUUACACUUUUAUUUCUGUAUAAGGAAUUAUUGUUUCUCUCAUUUCAGCCUCUGUCAGGUCCUUCUGAUGAAUUUUCAGGGCAUGGCAUUCAUUUCUCACUGACAUACAAGUCACAUUCCAGAGUUGCUUUGCCUUCUUUUUGGAUGAGUGUGAAUAACAGAAAGUUGACAAAACUGCUUUUCUUCGCCCUGGUUAAUUUUAAAUAACUACAUAAUUUAGGGUUUACAGAAGCUAAUUAAAGUUGAUAGGAAAUCUGCAUUUUAGGCCUACAGCUUUAACAAUCCUCAUGUAUAAGCAUCUGAAGAUCAACCUUUUUUUUUUUGUCCUAAAGCAACACACUAGAAUUUUUUCUUUCCUGAAAAAAUUAAUGUCUGCUGCAAUUUAAAUAACUAGCAUGAAUUCCCCAAAAAUGGUCACUUUCUAAUGGUCACUUUCCUUCUAAUAAGGCUUUUGACCAUAAAGCUAAGCUCAAACCCUUUCAAAGUUAGAAUGUUGUAGCAAAAUUGAGAGCAAAUUCAUUUAUUUGAGGCAGGGGACAUGGGACAGUUUAAUCUUGCAAAGCCAAAUUUCUACAGCCAGGAUUUCUAAAAGGAAAACUAGUCAUGGUGCCCUCAUCUGCCAGAGAAUACUGAAUUUUGGUCUUUAGAAUCCUAACGGUUAAGUUUAAGUUCAUCAACCACAUUUUUAAUAUGGCUUUGGGGAGAAAGAAUUUUUUGUUUCUUGUCUUGUAUUGCGUGGAUUACCAAUUUAAAACGGUAUUUCUUACCUUGCAUAAAACCAACACUCCCUAAUAUUCCUUUCUAACUUCUCCUGCAAAGUCUCAGUAUUGCUACUAAGGACAUCAGUCCAGUCCUUGUAUGAUAUAUUUUAACCAGUCACUGGUGAAGAUGAAGUUUUUCAAGCAUGUGGGGAGCAUCAGACAUCACCUAUCAUCUUCUAUUUGAAACCUUGUGCUUUGUGUCAUUGCCCCUCUGCACUGGCACAGCACACUGAGAGAAGCAGCAGGGCUACAAAGGGCAAAUGCCCUGGUGGGUCAGUGGAGACAGGGAGGAAUCCAGAGAGGAAUCCGGAGAGGAAUUCAUUGCUCUCGGCACCAGAGUGGCAGCCGGUCACAGCUCAGUGAAAAAUGCUUCUCCAGCCAGCUGGUGACAGUCCUGCAUGGAAACUGUUACAAAUGGGAGCAUUCCGAGAAUGGAAUGAAUAAAUUUUUUUUGUCAGAACACAGCAUAUUUGGAGGCUGUGGAUCCUUUAGAGACAGGCAGAUUUUCCAAAUGAGAUUCCUUGCUGGACCCAAAGGAACGCUCAACUAGAUUGUUUCAUUGAUGAAGAGCUGGGGACCCCUGGAGGAGGAACUAAAAUUACUUUAAAUAUAGGGCUUGAUGGAAAAUUCACGACAAACAACUCAAAACACUAGAUAUGCUCUGUUUUAUCUGAAUCCCUUCUAGAAAUACAGACUUCGUUGGUGUUUCUGGAGCACUGAGGACGAGCUGUGGGUUUGCCAUGCUCUGGAAUGGAGGCUGUGUUUUUCCACAUGGGCAGCACAGCAUGGAGCAGCCGUGCUCUG